rnacentral:rRNA from 1 species
CCGCAUGAUUUCCGGAAGAAAGGAUGGCCUCUAAUUUAUAAGCUAUCGCCUGAAGAGGGGUUUGCGUCUGAUUAGGCAAUUAGUGAGGUAACGGCACACCAAUCCUACGAUCAGUAGCCGGUCUGAGAGGAUGAACGGCCACACUGGAACUGAGACACGGUCCAGACUCCUACGGGAGGCAGCAGUGGGGAAUCUUCCGCAAUGGACGAAAGUCUGACGGAGCAACGCCGCGUGAGUGAUGACGGCCUUCGGGUUGUAAAGCUCUGUGAUCGGGGACGAAUGGCUGGCAUGCUAAUACCAUAUCAGAGUGACGGUACCCGAAUAGCAAGCCACGGCUAACUACGUGCCAGCAGCCGCGGUAAUACGUAGGUGGCAAGCGUUGUCCGGAAUUAUUGGGCGUAAAGCGCGCGCAGGCGGCUUCUUAAAUCCAUCUUAAAAGUGCGGGGCUUAACCCCGUGAUGGGAUGGAAACUGGGAGGCUGGAGUAUCG